CAUGGUUGUCGUCAGCUCGUGUCGUGAGAUGUUGGGUUAAGUCCCGCAACGAGCGCAACCCCUACGUUUAGUUGCUAACGCGUGAAGGCGAGCACUCUAGACGAACUGCCGUUGACAAAACGGAGGAAGGUGGGGAUGACGUCAAAUCAUCAUGCCCCUUAUGUUCUGGGCUACACACGUGCUACAAUGGCCGGUACAGACAGACGCAAAGCCGCGAGGUGGAGCAAAUCCUAAAAAGCCGGUCUCAGUUCGGAUUGCAGGCUGCAAUUCGCCUGCAUGAAGUCGGAAUCGCUAGUAAUCGCAGGUCAGCAUACUGCGGUGAAUACGUUCCCGGGCCUU
rnacentral:rRNA from 1 species